rnacentral:rRNA from 1 species
UACGGGGGGGGUAAGCGUUGUUCGGAAUUACUGGGCGUAAAGGGCUCGUAGGCGGCCAACUAAGUCAGACGUGAAAUCCCUCAGCUUAACUGGGGAACUGCGUCUGAUACUGGAUGGCUUGGAUCCGGAAGAGGGAUGCGGAAUUCCAGGUGUAGCGGUGAAAUGCGUAGAUAUCCGGAGGAACACCGGUGGCGAAGGCGGCUUCCUGGACCGACUCUGACGCUGAGGCGCGAAAGCUAGGGGAGCAAACGGG